CCCUAAUUUUCCCUGAAUUUUUUCUGGGAAACUGAAACACACUAACAGUACCUGCACGUGUUCCAAAAAAAAUCCAAAUUAGGCCCAGGGCCUCUUUCGGCCCAAAUCGCAACUCCAGCACGGCGGCUCCGCCGUGCUCCGGCGACGGCGCCGCCGCUGGCGGCGGCGAGUCGCCUCGGGUUGGCUGUUUUCGGCCGUUUUCGGCCGAAUUCGGCCAC
rnacentral:lncRNA from 1 species